rnacentral:rRNA from 1 species
CGAGUCUUAACUGGGCGAAUGAGUUGCAGGGUAUAGACCCGAAACCCGGUGAUCUAUCCAUGGGCAGGUUGAAGGUUGGGUAACACUAACUGGAGGACCGAACCGACUAAUGUUGAAAAAUUAGCGGAUGACUUGUGGAUGGGGGUGAAAGGCCAAUCAAACCGGGAGAUAGCUGGUUCUCCCCGAAAGCUAUUUAGGUAGCGCCUCGUGAACUCAUCUUCGGGGGUAGAGCACUGUUUCGACUAGGGGGUCAUCCCGACUUACCAACUCGAUGCAAACUGCGAAUACCGAAGAAUGUUAUCACGGGAGACACACGGCGGG